rnacentral:rRNA from 1 species
GCUUCACUGCAGGCUGGCAUUUGGGUUCGGGCUUUUCUUGCGCAGUCUAGGUGGGAGGCUUUGAAGGGUUUCCUUCCGGGAAGCUGGAGCCAUCAGUGAGAGACCACUCUGGAAAGGGCUAGAAUCCUAAUGGUGAUCCUUGAAUCAGGCACACGUUGACGAUUCGUCAGCUAGACAGGUUUUUUCUGGGGCGGAAGGCUCCUAAAGCGGUAACGGAGCUGUGCAAAGGUUACCCUCAGUCUGGAGCGUGAAAUCCAGACGUGGGAGUGUAAAGGCAAAGAGGGGAGCUUGACUGCGAGAGGAGACAACUCAAGCAGGUUAGGAAAACUAGGUCUUUAGUGAUCCGACGGCUACCCGUGGUGGAAGGGCCGUCGCUCAACGGAUAAAAGUUA